AUGGGACGAAAGCUGAUGCAGCCAUGCCGCGUGUAUGAAGAAGGCCUUCGGGUGUAAAGUACUUUCAGUUGUGAGGAGGGGGGUAACGUUAAUAGCGUUAUCUCUUGACGUUAGCAACAGAAGAAGCACCGGCUAACUCCGUGCCAGCAGCCGCGGUAAUACGGAGGGUGCGAGCGUUAAUCGGAAUUACUGGGCGUAAAGCGCAUGCAGGUGGUUCAUUAAGUCAGAUGUGAAAGCCCGGGGCUCAACCUCGGAACUGCAUUUGAAACUGGUGAACUAGAGUGCUGUAGAGGGGGGUAGAAUUUCAGGUGUAGCGGUGAAAUGCGUAGAGAUCUGAAGGAAUACCAGUGGCGAAGGCGGCCCCCUGGACAGACACUGACACUCAGAUGCGAAAGCGUGGGGAGCAAACAGGAUUAGAUACCCUGGUAGUCCACGCCGUAAACGCAUGUCUACUUGGAGGUUGUGGCCUUGAGCCGUGGUCUUUCGGAGCUCACG
rnacentral:rRNA from 1 species